AAUAAGUGAAGUUUUACACUAUUUAUUUUCAACGUUUGACCGUUUGUCUUAUUUUAAAAAAAUAUGAUUACUAUUUUUAUUAUUAUUAGAUGAUAAAAUAUGAAUAAUACUUUAUGUAUGACUAAUUUUUUUAAAAUUUUUCAUAAAUUUUUUAAAUAAAACGAAUGGUCAAACGUUGUUGGAUACGGAUUUCCACGGCUGCGCUUCUC
rfam:Oryza sativa Japonica Group DNA, chromosome 8, cultivar: Nipponbare, complete sequence.